rnacentral:rRNA from 1 species
UACGUAGGGUGCGAGCGUUGUCCGGAAUUAUUGGGCGUAAAGAGCUUGUAGGCGGUCUGUCGCGUCUGCUGUGAAAAUCCGGGGCUCAACCCCGGACUUGCAGUGGGUACGGGCAGACUAGAGGUGUGGUAGGGGAGACUGGAAUUCCUGGUGAUAGCGGUGAAAUGCGCAGAUAUCAGGAGGAACACCAAUGGGCGGAAGGCAGCUCGCUGGAACGGUACUGAC